CCUACGGGUGGCAGCAGUGAGGAAUAUUGGUCAAUGGGGGAAACCCUGAAGCAGCAACGCCGCGUGGAGGAUGAAGGUUUUCGGAUUGUAAACUCCUUUUGUUAGAGAAGAUAAUGACGGUAUCUAACGAAUAAGCACCGGCUAACUCCGUGCCAGCAGCCGCGGUAAUACUGAGGGUGCAAGCGUUACUCGGAAUCACUGGGCGUAAAGAGCGCGUAGGCGGGAUAGCAAGUCAGAUGUGAAAUCCUAUGGCUUAACCAUAGAACUGCAUUUGAGACUGUUAUUCUAGAGUAUGGGAGAGGUAGGUGGAAUUCUUGGUGUAGGGGUAAAAUGCGUAGAGAUCAAGAGGAAUACUCAUUGCGAAGGCGACCUGCUAGAACAUAACUGACGCUGAUGCGCGAAAGCGUGGGGAGCAAACAGGAUUAGAUACCCCUGUAGUC
rnacentral:rRNA from 1 species